GACGAACGCUGGCGGCGUGCCUAAUACAUGCAAGUCGAACGCAUUUUCUUUCACCGUAGCUUGCUACAACGAAAGAAAAUGAGUGGCGAACGGGUGAGUAACACGUGGGUAACCUGCCCAUCAGCGGGGGAUAACACUUGGAAACAGGUGCUAAUACCGCAUAAUUCCAUUUACCGCAUGGUAGAUGGAUGAAAGGCGCUUUUGCGUCACUGAUGGAUGGACCCGCGGUGCAUUAGCUAGUUGGUGGGGUAACGGCCUACCAAGGCUGCGAUGCAUAGCCGACCUGAGAGGGUGAUCGGCCACACUGGGACUGAGACACGGCCCAGACUCCUACGGGAGGCAGCAGUAGGGAAUCUUCGGCAAUGGACACAAGUCUGACCGAGCAACGCCGCGUGAGUGAAGAAGGUUUUCGGAUCGUAAAACUCUGUUGUUAGAGAAGAACAAGGAUGAGAGUGGAAAGUUCAUCCCUUGACGGUAUCUAACCAGAAAGCCACGGCUAACUACGUG
rnacentral:rRNA from 1 species